rnacentral:lncRNA from 1 species
GGGGGAUUUGGGAAUGGGGGCGGGGGUUUAUGAAUGGGGGCGGGGAAUGAGGGGGGAUUUGUCAAUGGGGGCGGGGAUUUGGGGGUGGGGGGGGUGUGAAUGGGGGGGCAAUGGGGGGGGAUUUGUGAAUGGGGGCAGAGAUUUGGGGAUGGGGGGGGAAUGGGAGGGGGGUGAAUGAGGGGGGAUUUGUGAAUGGGGGGGUGUGAAUGGGGGGGUGUGAAUGGGGGCAGGGAUUUGUGAAUGGAGGGGGAGUGAGAAUGGGGGGGGAAUGGGAAGGAGGUGAAUGGGGGGGGAAUGUGAAUGGGGGGGAGAGAGGGAGGGAAUGUGAAUGGGGGGGAGGGAAUUGUGAAUGGGAGGGAGGGGGAGGGGGGAAUUGUGGGUGGGGGGGAGGAAGGGGGGGGUGGAAUUGUGAAUGGGGGUGGUGGGAGAGGGAGGAAUCGUGAAUGGAAUGUGAGCGGGGAAGGAAAAAGUGAAUGGAGGGAGACGGGAACAGAAAGCAGUUCUGAAUGGAAUGGAAUGGAAUGGAAUGGGGUGGGGUGGGGGUGGGGAGGGGUGGGGGUCCUGGCAGCUCACAGAGGUGGGAGGGGGGGGUUGGAAAAGUCCUGGCAGCUCACAAAGGAAUGGGGGUGUUGGGAAGGAAAGGUCCUGAAAGGUCACAGAGCCACGGGGUGGGUGGGUGGGGUGGGAAAGGUCCUGGCUGGGCACAGAGCUAUGGGGUGGUUGGGUUGGGAUGGAAAGGUCCUGACAGGUCACAAAGGCAUUGGACUGUUGGGUUGGAAAGGUCCUGACAGAUCACAGAGAUGUGGAAUGAAUGGGUUGGGAUGGAAAGGUCCUAACAGAUCACAUAGAUGUGGGAUGAAUGAAUUGGGAUGGAAAGGUCCUUACAGAUCACAGAGCUAUGGGGUGGUUGGGUUGGGAUGGAAAGGUCCUGACAGGUCACAGAGCUAUGGGGUGGUUGGGAUGGGAUGGAAAGGUCCUUACAGAUCACAGAGAUGCGGGAUGAAUGAAUUGGGAUGGAAAGGUCCUUACAGAUCACAGACUAUGGGAUGGUUGGGUUGGAAAGGUCCUGGCUGGUCACAGAGAUGUGGAAUGAAUGGGUUGGGAUGGAAAGGUCCUGACAGAUCACAGAGUUAUGGGAUGGUUGGAUUGGGUUGGAAAGGUCCUUACAGACCACAGAGAUGUGGGAUGGUUGGAUUGGGAAGGUCCUGGCAGGUCACAGAGAUGUGGGAUGAAUGGGUUGGGAUAGAAAGGGUCCUGACAGAUCACAGAGCUAUGGGGUGGUUGGGUUGGAUUAGAAAGGUCCUAACAGAUCACAAAGGCAUUGGACAGUUGGGUUGGGAUGGAAAGGUCCUUACAGAUCACAGAGCCAUUGGAUGGUUGGGUUGGGUUGGAAAGGUCCUAACAGGUCACAGAGAUGUGGGAUGGAUGGGUUGGGAUGGAAAGGUCCUGACAGAUCACAGAGAUG